UACGUAGGUGACAAGCGUUGUCCGGAUUUACUGGGCGUAAAGAGCGCGCAGGCGGUCGUUCAAGUCGAGUGUGAAAGCCCCCGGCUCAACUGGGGAGGGUCACUCGAUACUGAUCGACUCGAAGGCAGGAGAGGGUAGUGGAAUUCCCGGUGUAGUGGUGAAAUGCGUAGAUAUCAGGAGGAACACCAACAGCGAAGGCAGCACUCUGGGCCGGUACUGACGCUGAGGAGCGAAAGCAUGGGGAGCGAACAGG
rnacentral:rRNA from 1 species